rnacentral:rRNA from 1 species
CACGUAGGGGUGCGAGCGUUGUCCGGAAUUAUUGGGCGUAAAGAGCUCGUAGGCGGUGGUGUCGCGGUCGGCCGCUGAAAACCUGCAGCUUAACUGUGGCGUGCGGUCGAUACGGGCAUCACUGGAGUUCGGCAGGGAGGACUGGAAUUCCUAGGUUGGUAGCGGUGAAAGUGCGCAGAUAUCAGGAGGAACACCGGUGGGCGAAGGCGG